GGGGGGCAAGCGUUGUUCGGAAUUACUGGGCGUAAAGGGCUUGUAGGUGGCCAACUAAGUCAGACGUGAAAUCCCUCGGCUUAACCGGGGAACUGCGUCUGAUACUGGAUGGCUUGAGUGUGGGAGAGGGAUGCGGAAUUCCAGGUGUAGCGGUGAAAUGCGUAGAUAUCUGGAGGAACACCGGUGGCGAAGGCGGCAUCCUGGACCAUUACUGACACUGAAAAGCGAAAGCCAGGGGAGCAAACAGG
rnacentral:rRNA from 1 species